GACGAACGCUGGCGGCGUGCUUAACACAUGCAAGUCGAGCGGAGCGGCGAACGGGUGAGUAACGCGUGAGUAACUGCCCCCCUCUCUGGGUUAACAGUUGGAAACGGCUGCUAAUACCGGCUAGUGGGGGAUGACUCGCGUCCUAUCAGCAUGUUGGUGGGGUAGUGGCUUACCAAGGCGACGACGGGUAGCCGGCCUGAGUGGUCGACCGGCCACAAUGGGCUUAGAUACGGCCCAAAAUCCUACGGGAGGCAGCAGUGGGGAGUAUUGCAGAAUGGGGGAAACCCAGAUGCAGCAACGCGCGUGCGGGAUGACGGCUUUCGAGUUGUAAACCGCUUUCAGCCAUGACGCGGUAGUGACAGAAGAAGCACCGGCUAACUACGUGCCAGCAGCCGCGGUAAUUC
rnacentral:rRNA from 1 species